rnacentral:lncRNA from 1 species
AACCUAUUUUAUAGUUUGACAAAAAGAAAAAAAUAAAAGGCCCUCAUAGAUGAAAAACAUAAACGAAAAACUCAUAUGCACCUAAGAUCGACCAUAUAUUCGAAGAUCGUCGUGUCUAACGUGAGCCAGCUUUCUCUUUCACACCUAGUAAAUAAGAAACCAUGAACCUUUGUCAUGAAAAACAGCAAAAUAGUUGAACAAACCCAAAUCUGAGUUCAUGAACUGAAAAAAGAAAAAGUGCCCAAAAUUUAUUUGUUAAAAAAUUGAAGUUUUACUAAAUUGGGUUCAUGAAUCAUUCAAAUCUAAGAUUUAUAAAUAGAAAGUUGAAC